rnacentral:rRNA from 1 species
UUACGGCCAUAUCACGUUGAACACACCGGUUCUCGUCCGAUCACCGAAGUUAAGCAACGUCGAGCCUGGUCAGUACUUAGAUGGGUGACCGCUUGGGAAUACCAGGUGCUGUG